rnacentral:rRNA from 1 species
GGUGAACGCUGGCGGCGUGCUUAAGACAUGCAAGUCGAACGCAGUCUUCGGACUGAGUGGCGCACGGGUGAGUAACACGUAACUGACCUACCCCCAAGUCGCGAAUAACCAGCCGAAAGGAUGGCUAAUACGUGAUGUGAUGAUCCGCUGUGGCGGAUCAUUAAAGACUUGAUCGCUUGGGGAUGGGGUUGCGUUCCAUCAGCUAGUUGGUAAGGUAAAGGCUUACCAAGGCAACGACGGAUAGCCGGCCUGAGAGGGUGGCCGGCCACAGGGGCACUGAGACACGGGUCCCACUCCUACGGGAGGCAGCAGUUAGGAAUCUUCCACAAUGGGCGCAAGCCUGAUGGAGCGACGCCGCGUGAGGGAUGAAGGUUCUCGGAUCGUAAACCUCUGAACCAACGACGAAAGACCCGACAAGGGAGAUGACGGUAGUUAGGUAAUAGCACCGGCUAACUCCGUGCCAGCAGCCGCAGUAAGAC